ensembl:rRNA 5S_rRNA 5S ribosomal RNA
GCUUACGACCACACCGGUCUGAGUACACCUGAUCUCGUCUGAUCUCGGAAGCUAAGCAGGGUCGUGCCUGGUUAGUACUUGGAUGGGAGACCGCCUGGGAAUACCAGGUGCUGUAAGCU